rnacentral:lncRNA from 10 species
GAAGGUAUUCAGUUACCUGCCCUGCGGGGCUGUGCCUUCUCGCCUGGCUGCCUCCGCCUUUCUUGGGGGAAUGUCACGCUCGCGGCGCUUCUCCUAACAGCUAACCUUUGUGACAGCCUUUUCAGCCACGGGAGAGUUUUCUACAUUCCUUCUUUAUUUUGUCUUGGCGUUCCAUUUUGCAAUAACCCACCAAAUUAUUAUAACAUUGUCGGGGCGUUUACUAAAAUAUUCAAUAAAUGCUACAAGUUUGGGUAUUUGCUUUAAAAUUUUACAGUCCAAGAGAAAAAAAAAUGGAGAAGAGAGGUGAAAUAAGAUAGGCAAAAAGUUGAGGGUCGAAGCUGGGUGAUGGGUACUCGAGGCUGCAUUACAGUAUUCUUUCUAGUUCUGUGUCUUGGAAUUUUUCCAUAAUUUAAAAAAAUUCAGGAGGGACUGAAGGAGGGGCUUUUCAAUAAAAACUUAGCACGCUGAUGAGGGUACGUAAACAUCUAAUAAUUACGGCGUACCUCCAGAGGUUGUAGUGCUGUUGUUUUAAUGAAGACUCCCAGAGCUUCUUGGUCCUUGGUAACCCAUAAAUUAUCAUUUAUUGUUCAUUAUAAUUAGCGUUGUUAUUAUAGGCGACACGUCUCCCAGGACGGGACAAAAAGCAAACAAACCAGGUGCCUUAGGCCAGAGACACUUUCACACGGAAUAUCAAUGGGGCAUGUGGUUGACUGCCCUGGAACAUUUAUUUGUUUACUCUCUCCCUCCUAAAUUAGAAAAUACCAUAUUCGUGAGUUCUAAUCUACAUAAUCAGAUAGUCCCUGGGAAGAGAUUUCUCCUUUCUGUUCUUCUAUGUGUUUUCUGUGAAUUAUUUUGUUACUUGUGAAAUAUGGGAAGGCACACAACAUAGCUUUGGCAGCGCUCUUCUUUGCGGAGCAGCUAAGGAAUUUUAAAACUAGGUCCCUUUGCAUAUUAGCUCGGACUAAACACAGGCAUCUGUUUGGAGCACAGAGCAACUGGGGGAAGGCAGCCCAAAAAGCUAACACUUAUUUCAGAGAGGUGUGAGCUUGGUGAGGGUUUUGGAAAAUAAGAUAAAAU